UACGUAGGGGCAAGCGUUGUCCGGAAUUAUUGGGCGUAAAGAGCGCGUAGGCGGUCCGAUAAGUCGGCUGUGAAAGUCCAGGGCUCAACCCUGGAAAGCCGGCCGAUACUGUCGGACUAGAGUCCGGAAGAGGCGAGUGGAAUUCCCGGUGUAGCGGGUGAAAUGCGCAGAUAUCGGGAGGAACACCAAUGGCGAAGGCAGCUCGCUGGGACGGUACUGACGCUGACGGCG
rnacentral:rRNA from 1 species